GCCAUGCCGCGUGUGUGAAGAAGGCCUUUUGGUUGUAAAGCACUUUAAGCGAGGAGGAGGCUACUCUAGUUAAUACCUAGGGAUAGUGGACGUUACUCGCAGAAUAAGCACCGGCUAACUCUGUGCCAGCAGCCGCGGUAAUACAGAGGGUGCGAGCGUUAAUCGGAUUUACUGGGCGUAAAGCGUACGUAGGCGGCUUUUUAAGUCGGAUGUGAAAUCCCUGAGCUUAACUUAGGAAUUGCAUUCGAUACUGGGAAGCUAGAGUAUGGGAGAGGAUGGUAGAAUUCCAGGUGUAGCGGUGAAAUGCGUAGAGAUCUGGAGGAAUACCGAUGGCGAAGGCAGCCAUCUGGCCUAAUACUGACGCUGAGGUACGAAAGCAUGGGGAGCAAACAGGAUUAGAUACCCUGGUAGUCCAUGCCGUAAACGAUGUCUACUAGCCGUUGGGGCCUUUGAGGCUUUAGUGGCGCAGCUAACGCGAUAAGUAGACCGCCUGGGGAGUACGGUCGCAAGACUAAAACUCAAAUGAAUUGACGGGGGCCCGCACAAGCGGUGGAGCAUGUGGUUUAAUUCGAUGCAACGCGAAGAACCUUACCUGGUCUUGACAUAGUAAGAACUUUCCAGAGAU
rnacentral:rRNA from 1 species